rnacentral:rRNA from 1 species
AUUGAACGCUGGCGGCAUGCUUUACACAUGCAAGUCGAACGGCAGUGCGGGCUUCGGCCUGGCGGCGAGUGGCGAACGGGUGAGUAAUACAUCGGAACGUGCCCAGUAGUGGGGGAUAGCUCGGCGAAAGCCGGAUUAAUACCGCAUACGACCUGAGGGUGAAAGCGGGGGAUCUUCGGACCUCGCGCUAUUGGAGCGGCCGAUGGCAGAUUAGCUAGUUGGUGGGGUAAAGGCCUACCAAGGCGACGAUCUGUAGCUGGUCUGAGAGGACGACCAGCCACACUGGGACUGAGACACGGCCCAGACUCCUACGGGAGGCAGCAGUGGGGAAUUUUGGACAAUGGGCGAAAGCCUGAUCCAGCAAUGCCGCGUGUGUGAUGAAGGCCUUCGGGUUGUAAAGCACUUUUGGCGGGAACGAAAAGGACUGUGCCAAUACCACGGUUCGAUGGCGGUACCCGCAGAAUAAGCACCGGCUAACUACGUG